rnacentral:rRNA from 1 species
AGCAGCCGCGGUAAUUCCAGCUCCAAUAGCGUAUAUUAAAGUUGUUGCAGUUAAAAAGCUCGUAGUUGAAUUUCGGGGUUAGUAGGUUGGUCGUGCCACUGGUACGUACUGGUCUCACUGAUUCCUCCUUCCUGAUGAACUGUAAUGCCAUUAAUUUGGUGUUGCAGGGAAACUGGACUGUUACUUUGAAAAAAUUAGAGCGUUUAAAGCAAGCUAACGCUUGAAUACAUUAGCAUGGAAUAAUGAAAUAGGACGUUCGAUCCUAUUUUGUUGGUUUCUAGGAUUGACGUAAUGAUUAAUAGGGAUAGUUGGGGGCCAUUAGUAUUCAAUUGUCAGAGGUGAAAUUCUUGGAUUUAUUGAAGACUAACUACUGCGAAAGCAUUUGCCAAGGAUGUUUUCAUUAAUCAAGAACGAAAGUUAGGGGAUCGAAGACGAUCAGAUACCGUCGUAGUCUUAACCAUAAACUAUGCCGACUAGGGAUCGGAUGAUGUUAAUUUUUUAAUGACUCAUUCGGCGCCUU